rnacentral:rRNA from 1 species
GUCUGGGAAACUGCCUGAUGGAGGGGGAUAACUACUGGAAACGGUAGCUAAUACCGCAUAACGUCGCAAGACCAAAGAGGGGGACCUUCGGGCCUCUUGCCAUCGGAUGUGCCCAGAUGGGAUUAGCUUGUUGGUGGGGUAACGGCUCACCUAGGCGACGAUCCCUAGCUGGUCUGAGAGGAUGACCAGCCACACUGGAACUGAGACACGGUCCAGACUCCUACGGGAGGCAGCAGUGGGGAAUAUUGCACAAUGGGCGCAAGCCUGAUGCAGCCAUGCCGCGUGUAUGAAGAAGGCCUUCGGGUUGUAAAGUACUUUCAGCGGGGAGGAAGGGAGUAAAGUUAAUACCUUUGCUCAUUGACGUUACCCGCAGAAGAAGCACCGGCUAACUCCGUGCCAGCAGCCGCGGUAAUACGGAGGGUGCAAGCGUUAAUCGGAAUUACUGGGCGUAAAGCGCACGCAGGCGGUUUGUUAAGUCAGAUGUGAAAUCCCCGGGCUCAACCUGGGAACUGCAUCUGAUACUGGCAAGCUUGAGUCUCGUAGAGGGGGGUAGAAUUCCAGGUGUAGCGGUGAAAUGCGUAGAGAUCUGGAGGAAUACCCGUGGCGAAAGCGGCCCCCUGGACCAACACUGACGCUCUGGUGCGAAAGCGUGUGGAGCAAACA